rnacentral:rRNA from 1 species
GAUGAACGCUGGCGGCGUGCCUAAUACAUGCAAGUCGAGCGAACGGACGAGAAGCUUGCUUCUCUGAUGUUAGCGGCGGACGGGUGAGUAACACGUGGAUAACCUACCUAUAAGACUGGGAUAACUUCGGGAAACCGGAGCUAAUACCGGAUAAUAUCUUGAACCGCAUGGUUCAAAAGUGAAAGACGGUCUUGCUGUCACUUAUAGAUGGAUCCGCGCUGCAUUAGCUAGUUGGUAAGGUAACGGCUUACCAAGGCAACGAUGCAUAGCCGACCUGAGAGGGUGGUCGGCCACACUGGAACUGAGACACGGUCCAGACUCCGACGGGAGGCAGCAGUAGGGAAUCUUCCGCAAUGGGCGAAAGCCUGACGGAGCAACGCCGCGUGAGUGAUGAAGGUCUUCGGAUCGUAAAACUCUGUUAUUUGGGAAGAACAUAUGUGUAAGUAACUGUGCACAUCUUGACGGUACCUAAUCAGAAAGCCACGGCUAACUACGUG